CUACUCACUAACACAAGCCAGAUGUUGGACAGGCUCCGUUUCCUGAUUAGUUGAGAAUUCUCAUCUGGAACGGCGUAUUUUGGCCAUGAUCCUGAAAUCCAACCACUGAAUUAACCUUCUAAAUAAAGCACAAAGUGCAAGUGCAACCAUGUAGCCCACUGUGAAGUGUUGAGCAUUUGUAACUGGCACAGAACUGGGAUGUGGCAGCUGCCUUUGAAGAAGAGGUGUCGGAACAGAACUGGGUCAGGAAAAUUCAUCACCACUCUAACCCUAACUGGAGUACAGUGGUACCUCCGGUUGCAAACGGGAUCCAUUCUGGAGGUCCGGCUGCAUCCCUAGGUAUUGGCAACCGGAGGACUGCUUCUGCACAUGCACGCACGGCGAAACCCAUUCGCAUCCCAAAGAUUACGCAUCCAGAGGGAUAUGU